rnacentral:rRNA from 1 species
UGGGGAAUAUUGCACAAUGGGCGCAAGCCUGAUGCAGCCAUGCCGCGUGUGUGAAGAAGGCCUUCGGGUUGUAAAGCACUUUCAGCGAGGAGGAAGGCGUUAAGGUUAAUAACCUUAGCGAUUGACGUUACUCGCAGAAGAAGCACCGGCUAACUCCGUGCCAGCAGCCGCGGUAAUACGGAGGGUGCAAGCGUUAAUCGGAAUUACUGGGCGUAAAGCGCACGCAGGCGGUUUGUUAAGUCAGAUGUGAAAUCCCCGAGCUUAACUUGGGAACUGCAUUUGAAACUGGCAAGCUAGAGUCUUGUAGAGGGGGGUAGAAUUCCAGGUGUAGCGGUGAAAUGCGUAGAGAUCUGGAGGAAUACCGGUGGCGAAGGCGGCCCCCUGGACAAAGACUGACGCUCAGGUGCGAAAGCGUGGGGAGCAAACAGGAUUAGAUACCCCUGUAGUCC